rnacentral:rRNA from 1 species
GGAAGCCGGGUGUACCUAAGUCGGUAACCGCAAGGAGCCNCUAGGGUAAACUGUGACUGGGGCU